GUGACUGCGUACCUUUUGUAUAAUGGGUCAGCGACUUAUAUUCUGUAGCAAGGUUAACCGUAUAGGGGAGCCGAAGGGAAACCGAGUCUUAACUGGGCGUUAAGUUGCAGGGUAUAGACCCGAAACCCGGUGAUCUAGCCAUGGGCAGGUUGAAGGUUGGGUAACACUAACUGGAGGACCGAACCGACUAAUGUUGAAAAAUUAGCGGAUGACCUGUGGCUGGGGGUGAAAGGCCAAUCAAACCGGGAGAUAGCUGGUUCUCCCCGAAAGCUAUUUAGGUAGCGCCUCGUGAACUCAUCUUCGGGGGUAGAGCACUGUUUCGGCUAGGGGGCCAUCCCGGCUUACCAACCCGAUGCAAACUACGAAUACCGAAGAAUGUUAUCACGGGAGACACACGGCGGGUGCUAACGUCCGUCGUGAAGAGGGAAACAACCCAGACCGCCAGCUAAGGUCCCAAAGUCAUGGUUAAGUGGGAAACGAUGUGGGAAGGCACAGACAGCCAGGAUGUUGGCUUAGAAGCAGCCAUCAUUUAAAGAAAGCGUAAUAGCUCACUGGUCGAGUCGGCCUGCGCGGAAGAUGUAACGGGGCUAAACCAUGCACCGAAGCUGCGGCAGCGACACUAUGUGUUGUUGGGUAGGGGAGCGUUCUGUAAGCCGUUGAAGGUGUGCUGUGAGGCAUGCUGGAGGUAUCAGAAGUGCGAAUGCUGACAUAAGUAACGAUAAAGCGGGUGAAAAGCCCGCUCGCCGGAAGACCAAGGGUUCCUGUCCAACGUUAAUCGGGGCAGGGUGAGUCGACCCCUAAGGCGAGGCCGAAAGGCGUAGUCGAUGGGAAACAGGUUAAUAUUCCUGUACUUGGUGUUACUGCGAAGGGGGGACGGAGAAGGCUAUGUCAGCCGGGCGACGGUUGUCCCGGUUUAAGCAUGUAGGCGGAGGUUCCAGGUAAAUCCGGUACCUUAUUAACGCUGAGGUGUGAUGACGAGGCACUACGGUGCUGAAGUGAUAAAUGCCCUGCUUCCAGGAAAAGCCUCUAAGCAUCAGGUAACACGAAAUCGUACCCCAAACCGACACAGGUGGUCAGGUAGAGAAUACCAAGGCGCUUGAGAGAACUCGGGUGAAGGAACUAGGCAAAAUGGUGCCGUAACUUCGGGAGAAGGCACGCUGAUAKGUAGGUGAAGYCCCUGCGGRCGGAGCUGAAAUCAGUCGAAGAUACCAGCUGGCUGCAACUGUUUAUUAAAAACACAGCACUGUGCAAACACGAAAGUGGACGUAUACGGUGUGACGCCUGCCCGGUGCCGGAAGGUUAAUUGAUGGGGUUAGCGGCAACGCGAAGCUCUUGAUCGAAGCCCCGGUAAACGGCGGCCGUAACUAUAACGGUCCUAAGGUAGCGAAAUUCCUUGUCGGGUAAGUUCCGACCUGCACGAAUGGCGUAAUGAUGGCCAGGCUGUCUCCACCCGAGACUCAGUGAAAUUGAACUCGCUGUGAAGAUGCAGUGUACCCGCGGCAAGACGGAAAGACCCCGUGAACCUUUACUAUAGCUUGACACUGAACACUGGUCCUUGAUGUGUAGGAUAGGUGGGAGGCUUUGAAGCGUGGACGCCAGUCUGCGUGGAGCCRYCCUUGAAAUACCACCCUUUAAUGGCUGGUGUUCUAACGUAGACCCGURAUCCGGGUUGCGGACAGUGUCUGGUGGGUAGUUUGACUGGGGCGGUCUCCUCCCAAAGAGUAACGGAGGAGCACGAAGGUUGGCUAAUCCUGGUCGGACAUCAGGAGGUUAGUGCAAUGGCAUAAGCCAGCUUGACUGCGAGCGUGACGGCGCGAGCAGGUGCGAAAGCAGGUCAUAGUGAUCCGGUGGUUCUGAAUGGAAGGGCCAUCGCUCAACGGAUAAAAGGUACUCCGGGGAUAACAGGCUGAUACCGCCCAAGAGUUCAUAUCGACGGCGGUGUUUGGCACCUCGAUGUCGGCUCAUCACAUCCUGGGGCUGAAGUAGGUCCCAAGGGUAUGGCUGUUCGCCAUUUAAAGUGGUACGCGAGCUGGGUUUAGAACGUCGUGAGACAGUUCGGUCCCUAUCUGCCGUGGGCGCUGGAGAAUUGAGGGGGGCUGCUCCUAGUACGAGAGGACCGGAGUGGACGCAUCACUGGUGUUCGGGUUGUCAUGCCAAUGGCACUGCCCGGUAGCUAAAUGCGGAAGAGAUAAGUGCUGAAAGCAUCUAAGCACGAAACUUGCCCCGAGAUGAGUUCUCCCUGAGACUUUAAGUCUCCUGAAGGAACGUUGAAGACGACGACGUUGAUAGGUCGGGUGUGUAAGCGCAGCGAUGCGUUGAGCUAACCGAUACUAAUGAACCGUGAGGCUUAACCUU
rnacentral:rRNA from 1 species